rnacentral:rRNA from 1 species
UUUAUGGAGAGUUUGAUCCUGGCUCAGGAUGAACGCUGGCGGCGUGCCUAAUACAUGCAAGUCGAGCGAACGGACGAGAAGCUUGCUUCUCUGAUGUUAGCGGCGGACGGGUGAGUAACACGUGGAUAGCCUACCUAUAAGACUGGGAUAACUUCGGGAAACCGGAGCUAAUACCGGAUAAUAUUUUGAACCGCAUGGUUCAAAAGUGAAAGACGGUCUUGCUGUCACUUAUAGAUGGAUCCGCGCUGCAUUAGCUAGUUGGUAAGGUAACGGCUUACCAAGGCAACGAUGCAUAGCCGACCUGAGAGGGUGAUCGGCCACACUGGAACUGAGACACGGUCCAGACUCCUACGGGAGGCAGCAGUAGGGAAUCUUCCGCAAUGGGCGAAAGCCUGACGGAGCAACGCCGCGUGAGUGAUGAAGGUCUUCGGAUCGUAAAACUCUGUUAUUAGGGAAGAACAUAUGUGUAAGUAACUGUGCACAUCUUGACGGUACCUAAUCAGAAAGCCACGGCUAACUACGUGCCAGCAGCCGCGGUAAUACGUAGGUGGCAAGCGUUAUCCGGAAUUAUUGGGCGUAAAGCGCGCGUAGGCGGUUUUUUAAGUCUGAUGUGAAAGCCCACGGCUCAACCGUGGAGGGUCAUUGGAAACUGGAAAACUUGAGUGCAGAAGAGGAAAGUGGAAUUCCAUGUGUAGCGGUGAAAUGCGCAGAGAUAUGGAGGAACACCAGUGGCGAAGGCGACUUUCUGGUCUGUAACUGACGCUGAUGUGCGAAAGCGUGGGGAUCAAACAGGAUUAGAUACCCUGGUAGUCCACGCCGUAAACGAUGAGUGCUAAGUGUUAGGGGGUUUCCGCCCCUUAGUGCUGCAGCUAACGCAUUAAGCACUCCGCCUGGGGAGUACGACCGCAAGGUUGAAACUCAAAGGAAUUGACGGGGACCCGCACAAGCGGUGGAGCAUGUGGUUUAAUUCGAAGCAACGCGAAGAACCUUACCAAAUCUUGACAUCCUUUGACAACUCUAGAGAUAGAGCUUUCCCCUUCGGGGGACAAAGUGACAGGUGGUGCAUGGUUGUCGUCAGCUCGUGUCGUGAGAUGUUGGGUUAAGUCCCGCAACGAGCGCAACCCUUAAGCUUAGUUGCCAUCAUUAAGUUGGGCACUCUAAGUUGACUGCCGGUGACAAACCGGAGGAAGGUGGGGAUGACGUCAAAUCAUCAUGCCCCUUAUGAUUUGGGCUACACACGUGCUACAAUGGACAAUACAAAGGGCAGCGAAACCGCGAGGUCAAGCAAAUCCCAUAAAGUUGUUCUCAGUUCGGAUUGUAGUCUGCAACUCGACUACAUGAAGCUGGAAUCGCUAGUAAUCGUAGAUCAGCAUGCUACGGUGAAUACGUUCCCGGGUCUUGUACACACCGCCCGUCACACCACGAGAGUUUGUAACACCCGAAGCCGGUGGAGUAACCUUUUAGGAGCUAGCCGUCGAAGGUGGGACAAAUGAUUGGGGUGAAGUCGUAACAAGGUAGCCGUAUCGGAAGGUGCGGCUGGAUCACCUCCUUU